GACGAACGCUGGCGGCGUGCUUAACACAUGCAAGUCGAACGGUAAGGCCCUUCGGGGUACACGAGUGGCGAACGGGUGAGUAACACGUGGGUGAUCUGCCCUGCACUUCGGGAUAAGCCUGGGAAACUGGGUCUAAUACCGGAUAGGACUCCUGGCUUCAUGGUUGGGGGUGGAAAGCUUUUGCGGUGUGGGAUGGGCCCGCGGCCUAUCAGCUUGUUGGUGGGGUAAUGGCCUACCAAGGCGAGCACGGGUAGCCGGCCUGAGAGGGUGACCGGUCACACUGGGACGGAGAUACGGCCCGGACUCCGACGGGAGGCAGCAGUGGGGAAUAUUGCACAAUGGGCGCAAGCCUGAUGCAGCGACGCCGCGUGAGGGAUGACGGCCUUCGGGUUGUAAACCUCUUUCAGCUAUGACGAAGCGCAAGUGACGGUAGUAGCAGAAGAAGGACCGGCCAACUACGUGCCAGCAGCCGCCGUAA
rnacentral:rRNA from 1 species